AAAGUAGUUAGUGUGUAUUAGUGUUAGUUUACAUUGUAUUAAGGCACUUUCUAGUGCAUUAGGUUAGGUUAGGUUAUCUUAGGUUAGGUUAGGUUAGGUUAGAUUAGAUUAAAACCUUUUUAAUUGCCACACAUAGUACAGUCUCAAAUACUUACACAGUUAAGUUGUCCUGUUUAACUACUGUCUCCAGCUUUCCCCAGUGUUUUUCAGGUAACUGGCCCUACCAACUUAUAGGAGACCUUUUCAGCAUCAUCUGACUGUUUGAGUCCACAACAGAAGAAUUCAGGAGACAGAUUGCAAACUUGCAAUUUCCUGCCUUGGUUCCCUCUACUCAUUCUACAACUACAGACAAACUACACACCAGGUAAGUAACAAGUGUUAAGUAAUUGGAAGGAUUUCUGCUUGUUUAUAAGAUGCCGAGAAGAAACAAGAGAGCCCAGGCUGCGCGUGUCCGCUGGACCAAGUUGGACCUUGCUGACACCCAGGCGAGCUCACUUCGGACCAGUGAAGAGGCUGCAGGAGACCAGUCAAGGAAGAUGGACUUGGCAGAUCUUCAGACGAGCCAGCCUAUUACCACUCAACAGGUAUAUUAAGAAAUGUGGUAACAUUUGACUUAAUUACUUUCUGGAACUGUCGAUAAUGUCU